rnacentral:rRNA from 1 species
GACGAACGCUGGCGGCGUGCCUAAUACAUGCAAGUCGAACGCACAGUUUAUACCGUAGCUUGCUACACCAUAGACUGUGAGUUGCGAACGGGUGAUUAACGCGUAGGUAACCUGCCUGGUAGCGGGGGAUAACUAUUGGAAACGAUAGCUAAUACCGCAUGAUAUUAAUUAUUGCAUGGUAAUUAAUUGAAUGGUUCAAUUGCACCACUACCAGAUGGACCUGUGUGGUAUUAGCUAGUAGGUGAGGUAACGGCUUACCUAGGCGAAGAUACAUAUCCGAACUGAGAGGGUGGUCGGCCAACCCGGGACUGAGGACAGGCCCAGACUCCCUCGGGAGGGAGCAGGAGGGAAUCUUCGGCCAAUGGCGGAAGUCUGGCCGAACCAAGCCGCGGGGGUGAAGAAGGUUCUCGGAUCGUAAAGCUCUGUUGUAAGGGGAGAACGGGUGUUGGAGUGGAAAGUUCACACCGUGACGGUACCUUACCAGAAAGGGACGGCUAACUACGUG